GGCUAAUAUUCCUGUACUUGGUGUUACUGCGAAGGGGGGACGGAGAAUGCUAUGUUGGCCGGGCGACGGUUGUCCCGGUUUACGCGUGUAGGCUGGCUUUCCAGGCAAAUCCGGAAAAUCAAAGCUGAGGCGUGAUGACGCGCCACCACGGUGCUGAAGCGACAAAUGCCCUGCAUCCAGCAAAAGCAUCACAGCAUCAGCUAACACCAAAUCGUACCCCCAACCGACACAGUGGGCCAGGUACAGAAAA
rnacentral:rRNA from 1 species